rnacentral:rRNA from 1 species
UACAGAGGUCGCAAGCGUUGUUCGGAUUUACUGGGCGUAAAGGGCGCGUAGGCGGUCCCAUGUGUCGGAUGUGAAAUCUCCGGGCUCAACCCGGCAAGUGCGUCCGAAACUGUGGGACUCGAGUCUGGGAGAGGGAAUCGGAAUAUAGGGUGUAGCGGUGAAAUGCGUUGAUAUCCUAUAGAACACCGGAGGCGAAGGCGGAUUCCUUGAACAGCACUGACGCUGAGGCGCGAAAGUCGGGGGAGCAAACAGG